rnacentral:ncRNA from 1 species
UAUAUUUGCCGCUCAUUCUUGAAAAUCAGGAAUUUUACAUAAAAAUUAUUUAAAAAAAUAUUGGAAUG